AUCUCGAAGGGGUUUCGGGAUGCGGGCCUGGUCCCGCAGGAUGUCAGUGUUCUGCUCAUGCAUCUUGCUGGCUGGUGCUGUGUCAAUUUUUCCUUUUGAUAUGCUGCGCUUGUGUUCUUUUAUUCUUGUAAUCAGGUUUCUCCUGGUACUACCUGUGUGGUAUUGGGUGCGGUUUUCGUCUGGAUUCUGUGGAGGGAUGGAGUGCGCGCCUGCCUUCCUGUGCUCCACUGUCUGGCCCUUGUCGUUGGGGAGAGGCUCGAGGGGCGUGGGAGCGCUCUUCCUGGCCAUUUUUCGGUGUUCGUGUCUCGGGGCCUUG
rnacentral:lncRNA from 1 species